rnacentral:rRNA from 1 species
GGAGUUUGGACCGUGUCUCAGUUCCAAUGUGGGGGACCUUCCUCUCAGAACCCCUACUGAUCGCGGGCUUGGUGGGCCGUUACCCCGCCAACAACCUAAUCAGACGCAUCCCCAUCCCAUAGCGGUGAACCUUUGGUAUUCUUCUGAUGUCAUCAAAAUACAACAUAGAGCAUUAAUCCGACUUUCGCCGGGCUAUUCUCUACUAUGGGGAAGGUUGGAUACGCGUUACUCACCCGUGCGCCGGUCGCCAUCAUCGGUUGCAAGCAACCGACAUGCUGCCCCUCGACUUGCAUGUGUUAAGCCUGUAGCUAGCGUUCAUC